AGGGUUCGAUUCUGGCUCAGGAUGAACGCUGGCGGCGUGCUUAACACAUGCAAGUCGAACGGGAUCCAUCAGGCUUUGCUUGGUGGUGAGAGUGGCGAACGGGUGAGUAAUGCGUGACCGACCUGCCCCAUACACCGGAAUAGCUCCUGGAAACGGGUGGUAAUGCCGGAUGCUCCGACUCCUCGCAUGGGGUGUCGGGAAAGAUUUCAUCGGUAUGGGAUGGGGUCGCGUCCUAUCAGGUAGUCGGCGGGGUAACGGCCCACCGAGCCUACGACGGGUAGCCGGCCUGAGAGGGCGACCGGCCACAUUGGGACUGAGAUACGGCCCAGACUCCUACGGGAGGCAGCAGUGGGGAAUAUUGCACAAUGGGCGCAAGCCUGAUGCAGCGACGCCGCGUGCGGGAUGACGGCCUUCGGGUUGUAAACCGCUUUUGAUCGGGAGCAAGCCUUCGGGUGAGUGUACCUUUCGAAUAAGCACCGGCUAACUACGUGCCAGCAGCCGCGGUAAUACGUAGGGUGCAAGCGUUAUCCGGAAUUAUUGGGCGUAAAGGGCUCGUAGGCGGUUCGUCGCGUCCGGUGUGAAAGUCCAUCGCUUAACGGUGGAUCUGCGCCGGGUACGGGCGGGCUGGAGUGCGGUAGGGGAGACUGGAAUUCCCGGUGUAACGGUGGAAUGUGUAGAUAUCGGGAAGAACACCAAUGGCGAAGGCAGGUCUCUGGGCCGUUACUGACGCUGAGGAGCGAAAGCGUGGGGAGCGAACAGGAUUAGAUACCCUGGUAGUCCACGCCGUAAACGGUGGAUGCUGGAUGUGGGGCCCGUUCCACGGGUUCCGUGUCGGAGCUAACGCGUUAAGCAUCCCGCCUGGGGAGUACGGCCGCAAGGCUGAAACUCAAAGAAAUUGACGGGGGCCCGCACAAGCGGCGGAGCAUGCGGAUUAAUUCGAUGCAACGCGAAGAACCUUACCUGGGCUUGACAUGUUCCCGACAGCCGUAGAGAUAUGGCCUCCCUUCGGGGCGGGUUCACAGGUGGUGCAUGGUCGUCGUCAGCUCGUGUCGUGAGAUGUUGGGUUAAGUCCCGCAACGAGCGCAACCCUCGCCCUGUGUUGCCAGCACGUCAUGGUGGGAACUCACGGGGGACCGCCGGGGUCAACUCGGAGGAAGGUGGGGAUGACGUCAGAUCAUCAUGCCCCUUACGUCCAGGGCUUCACGCAUGCUACAAUGGCCGGUACAACGGGAUGCGACACGGCGACGUGGAGCGGAUCCCUGAAAACCGGUCUCAGUUCGGAUUGGAGUCUGCAACCCGACUCCAUGAAGGCGGAGUCGCUAGUAAUCGCGGAUCAGCAACGCCGCGGUGAAUGCGUUCCCGGGCCUUGUACACACCGCCCGUCAAGUCAUGAAAGUGGGUAGCACCCGAAGCCGGUGGCCUAACCCUUUGUGGAUGGAGCCGUCUAAGGUGAGACUCGUGAUUGGGACUAAGUCGUAACAAGGUAGCCGUACCGGAAGGUGCGGCUG
rnacentral:rRNA from 1 species